GAUUAACGCUGGCGGCGUGCAUAACACAUGCAAGUCGAACGAAGUGGCGGACGGGUGAGUAACGCGUGAGUAACCUGCCUUAGAGAAGGGGAUAGCCUUUGGAAACGAAGCAUAAUACCCUAUACUCUAAGAUGGACUUGCGUCUGAUUGGUUAGUUGGUGGGGUAACGGCCCACCAAGACAGCGAUCAGUAGCCGGCUUGGGAGAGUGAACCGCACCAUUGGGACUGAGAAACGGGCCAGAAGGUAAGGGAGGCAGCAGUGGGGAAUUGUGCACAACGGGGGAAGCCAUGAUGCAGCGAUGCCGAGUGAUUUAGAAGGCCUUCGGGUUGUAAAAAUCUUUUCUAGGGGAAGCAGUACCAUAGGAAUAAGGACCGGCUAAUUACGUGCCAGCAGCCGCGGUAAUUC
rnacentral:rRNA from 1 species